AUUUUCAUCUACAAACAAAGGAAAACUACGUACCUUAAAUAAAUAGUAAGAAAAUAAAAAAAGAAAUACACAAAAAAGAAAAAUUAUAAGAAGAACAUACCCAAAAUAAUUGUUGCAACUUCUAGAAUUUUCUUCUCCACUAUUGAUGACGAGAAAAUACGAAUUAGGCUAAAGGCAAAAGCGAAUAAUGGUAGAAGGACGACCUUUUUUUUUCAGAGAAAACAAGAUUUUGGGGAGAAUUCGUUCUGCAAAACAAUGGCUAGAAUUUAGAAAGAGAAGGAUUGAAUUGAUAGAAGAGUAUUGUGCGAAAUUUAUGUGGUAAGAAAAAAAAAUAAAC
rnacentral:lncRNA from 1 species